rnacentral:rRNA from 1 species
CGUAGGUGGCAAGCGUUGUCCGGAUUUAUUGGGUUUAAAGGGUGCGUAGGCGGUCUAUUAAGUCAGUGCUGAAAUAUCCCGGCUUAACCGGGAGGGUGGCAUUGAUACUGAUGGACUUGAGUGCAGUCGAGGUAGGCGGAAUUGACGGUGUAGCGGUGAAAUGCUCAGAUAUCGUCAAGAACACCGAUAGUGUAGACAGCUUACUAGGCUGUAACUGACGCUGAGGCACGAAAGUGUGGGGAUCAAACAGGAUUAGAUACCCUGGUAGUCCACACUGUAAACGUUGAUGACUCGCUGUUUGCGAUAUACAGUAAGCGGCUUAGAGAAAUCGUUAAGUCAUCCACCUGGGGAGUACGCCGGCAACGGUG